CAUGCAACUGAUCAUUUUAUUAUGACAAACUAAUGGCCUAACAAAUUUCUAACGACCAAAGCGAAUCUCCACCAUAUAAAGAGGGACAAAGUACUCACCGAAGGAUAAGUCAUAAUUCAGAGAGCCCAGACUCUACUGAACUCUUUUUUCAUUGAAGAAAAUCAAAAAACAAAUCUCACUCUUUCCACUCAAAAUUCUCUCCUUGCCUUCUAUUUUUCCUAUUUCUACUAUCUGUUCUCAAGGUCCUGACUAACUUAAGUAUUAGAGGAUUCUAAACCAGAAGGUAUCCUAUCAAUUUUGCGACUUCUUUUGUAGAUCCACUCAUGGUCUACAUCAGUC
rnacentral:lncRNA from 1 species